AGAACUUACCUUCGAUUCUAAUGAACUAAUGAUGCAUUAAAGCAUUUGAUGUAUUUUUAAGUACUCAUAACUGAGCAAAUUUUAGUGUUCCAAGUUGCUUUCCAUGUGUAUGUUGACUGUCUCCGUGAUUCUCAUCGGCAAAGUUCUCCUGGCAUGAGGACGGGGUUCUAUAUGCAGUAUCUAUUCAAGCUUCAAAGUAGUGUGCCAGUAAACCAAGCAAUAGACAAGGAUUGGAAAGAUGGAAGUGAGCCUUUUAUCCCUCCAACACCCAAGGCCGCCAGGUAGAGGCCACCAAAUAACAUUGCUGCUUGGCCAUGACCAGCUUCGUUACAUGAGGUGUUUCUGUUUAUGGAUGCACAGAUAGGCGGCCUCAGGGAAGAUGCAGACCUAAAAGAGCCGCCUGUUUUUCUCAUAUUGCUGCAAUGGUCUAGGAAGGUGUACUCUAUCUACUUAUGCUUUUGGAUAGUAGCAGACUAUACAAUGCUAGGAAAACAUUGAUCUCAAAGAGAUUCAACUAAUGUUAUCUGGUGGUGAGGCAAGCAUCAGAUAAGAACCCGCCAAGUAGAGCGAGAAGGAAGGAAGUUCCCAUAAAGUUGGUAACUAUGUUGGCUGAAGCAGAUGGAGAAAAAUUCAUAGUUUUCGAUAGAUAAAGGACUAGAUUACUCGCAUUUGCCAGAAAAUGCGCUGACUGGAUGCGUACUCGCGUGAUCAAUCGAUGGACGGGGGAAUUGCGUGAAUGAUGAGACCGGCCUAACCUAAGCUGUGCUGGUUUCAUGACGUGCAUUGCAAAGUAAGAAGGGAUUAUUGGUUCCUAUAUAUGGAAUGUUGAGACAUCUAGAAGAGUUGGAAUCUUUGACAUUACUGUUAAGUUCGCAAUUAUGUUUUCCUCUCUUGUUUUUUUUUAAUUCUUCCUUUGUUAGUUUUUUUUUUCUUUUCUGCAUUCUUGUUAUAAUCUCCUAUAAAUAUGUGGGCAAGUUCAUCAUUAUCUGAAGUCAAAUAUCUUGCAAAACUUUAUGAUGAUGCUCAUCCACCAUUGCAUCCGUUCGGUGGACUUCGGAUGUUCUACAUCCUUCUUAUGCUCAACUGAAGGAGCUGGAAAACCAUCAUUUAAGACAUCUCUGGUUAUGCCUAGUCGACAAUGCAUCUUGUAAGUGUUUGGACUCUGGAUUCUUAUCCAUAGUCCCAGGUUGUGGCAAGCUGAUCAUGCGGCAACUAACUUUUAGGCCCAUAAAAUAGUUAAAAUAGUAAAUAUGUUCGAUGGUUGCUAAUGAUAUUCCUAUUGGGACCUUACCAAGCAUUUUGUGCUCAAUUUUUAAAGCUCCUGUUGUGACAGGGAGGCCUUAGUCAAGAAAUUGGUGAAUUGGGUCAAAGAUGUCCUCCUCAUUCCUUUCUGUGGCUCAGACUUUUUAGUGUUCCCGCUGUAUUAUCUGUACUAACUGGGCAGAAAUGCAUCUGUUUUUUCCCCUUCAGAUUAUUGCAUUGCUUGAAUACUUUUUGAAUCCUUAAAUUGUUUGCUUCAUUAUCUUGGGAAAUUCAAGAUGAAGAGCCAGUAGCCACAUAGUUUUUAACA